AAGGUGAAUUUUUGUCGAUUUGGCAGGUAGACAUUUUGGAUUUUGGCCAAGGUGUAUAUAUUUAGAAGGUGAAUUUUUGUCGAUUUGGCAGGUAGACAUUUUGGAUUUUGGCCGGUCGAGAAACUUCAAAGUUUGUUUACUUAAUCAUAUGGUUUGGGACUACCAAAAUAAACAAACAUAAAGCAUCGUUUUUCGGUUCAGUAAACCAAGUUUCUACAUUUAUCAUCGUCGUUGCACAUAGCACUGAAGAUAAACAGUUCCUUUACCAGCUCUAAAAAGAAAUUUGCGUGACGUUGUUUUCUUCAUACAGCUACCAAAGGCCUAUCGGACGUAUCGAAUUACGGCAUACCACUCGAUAAAAUUACACUGGUAGAUUAAGUGAAGCUGUUCGAUUCUCGUGCUAAGUACCAUAAAUUACAAGGAAUAGGAUAGAAUUGUGCCGCAUCCACCUCGAAACCCUUAUCUUUCGUACCCGUCAGGCGUAUAAUGCUUCACUGGAUAGCAUUAGCAAUUAUGCGUAGAUUGUUCGGAAAGUUUCACUAUGAUUUGAAAGCACCAGCACCACCAGUGCGUGGACCGUAAAGUAUCAGUAUCAUGAUGUGCUGCCUCCACUGGAUCCAGGUAAGGACUCCAUCGAUCAUCGGUGUAAGAACGUUUAUAUUGAAUGAUACUGUAAACUGUUUACGGGGCAUUCAAUAUUUAAGGCAAGAGGGAAAAUUUGUAAUUUUUAUUCGUGAACAACACAACCCAACGUGUGCAGGUGCCAACCGUUUACAAUAAGUCUAUUUUAAAGCUGUAUUUGCUGUUCAUUAUUUUUAUUUAACGAUUCAAUGAAACGGAACAACUUUACUCAGCGUUUAAACGCUUUCUUUCAAAACGACGAAUAUAUAUGAAUACACAUUUCAUUCAGUGUUAUAUGGACAGCGAUAAACGAACAACGUCGACGUUGUAGCCAGGACGGUAAAAUUUGCCAUUAACAGAAUCAUCACAUACUUAAGACAUUUUUUGAAGGUGAUUGAAAAGAAAGAACUUUCACUUCGAUGUCCAGGGAGUCAAAGUGCUCAGCAAAAAUAAGUAAGGAUAUUGUUAAUGUAUCUAGUGAUUAAAACUACUUCUACAAAACCAUCGUUAUUUCAUUUGCGGACUAAACAUAGCUUAGAAGUUACGAAUGAACUAGUUGAUUGAGAUAUGUAGAGACCGGCUCUUAUUGCUCUCUGCUUUAGUAUAUAGGAAAACUUGUUUGUAAACUUAUGUUAAUAUUUAUAAUUUGGCUUCAUUAAAGUUGAUCACAUUGUGUUCAUUACUCUUGUUACUGCACAUUGUA